rnacentral:rRNA from 1 species
UGGGGAAUAUUGGACAAUGGGCGAAAGCCUGAUCCAGCAACGCCGCGAGAGGGAUGACGGCCUUCGGGUUGUAAACCUCUUCCAGUACCGACGAAGCGCCCUGUCGGGUGGUGACGGUAGGUACAGAAGAAGGACCGGCCACCUACGUGCCAGCAGCCGCGGUAAUACGUAGGGUCCGAGCGUUGUCCGGAAUUAUUGGGCGUAAAGGGCUCGUAGGCGGUUUGUCGCGUCGGGAGUGAAAUCUUACAGCUUAACUGUGAACUUGCUUUCGAUACGGGCAGACUUGAGGCAUUCAGGGGAGAACGGAAUUCCUGGUGUAGCGGUGAAAUGCGCAGAUAUCAGGAGGAACACCGGUGGCGAAGGCGGUUCUCUGGGAAUGUUCUGACGCUGAGGAGCGAAAGUGUGGGGAGCGAA